rnacentral:rRNA from 1 species
UCGAGCGAGUCUGCCUUGAAGAUCGGAGUGCUCGCACUCUGUGAAACAAGAUACAGGCUAGCGGCGGACGGGUGAGUAACACGUGGGUAACCUGCCCAAGAGAUCGGGAUAACACCUGGAAACAGAUGCUAAUACCGGAUAACAACAGAUGAUGCCUAUCAACUGUUUAAAAGAUGGUUCUGCUAUCACUCUUGGAUGGACCUGCGGUGCAUUAGCUAGUUGGUAGGGUAACGGCCUACCAAGGCGAUGAUGCAUAGCCGAGUUGAGAGACUGAUCGGCCACAUUGGGACUGAGACACGGCCCAAACUCCUACGGGAGGCAGCAGUAGGGAAUCUUCCACAAUGGACGCAAGUCUGAUGGAGCAACGCCGCGUGAGUGAAGAAGGGUUUCGGCUCGUAAAGCUCUGUUGUUGGUGAAGAAGGACAGGGGUAGUAACUGACCUUUGUUUGACGGUAAUCAAUUAGAAAGUCACGGCUAACUACGUGCCAGCAGCCGCGGUAAUACGUAGGUGGCAAGCGUUGUCCGGAUUUAUUGGGCGUAAAGCGAGUGCAGGCGGCUCGAUAAGUCUGAUGUGAAAGCCUUCGGCUCAACCGGAGAAUUGCAUCAGAAACUGUCGAGCUUGAGUACAGAAGAGGAGAGUGGAACUCCAUGUGUAGCGGUGAAAUGCGUAGAUAUAUGGAAGAACACCGGUGGCGAAGGCGGCUCUCUGGUCUGUUACUGACGCUGAGGCUCGAAAGCAUGGGCAGCGAACAGGAUUAGAUACCCUGGUAGUCCAUGCCGUANACGAUGAGUGCUAAGUGUUGGGAGGUUUCCGCCUCUCAGUGCUGCAGCUAACGCAUUAAGCACU